GACUUUGAGAUGCGAAUUUGCCUCGAAGCGAAACCGUCUUCCAUUCCGUUCCUUCCACAACAUCCAGUAGAGUGUCAUAACCACACAAUCCCAUGUGCAUUUUGUGAUUGCCAUGGGUAGGUUUUUCCUCCACUCCGUCCACAAUCUUUCCAAAGAUUCUGGUACUUGUUGGAUGUUUAGAGAGGAGGUAAGAUGCUGCCAUAAUUCCUUGGAGUAAGAACAUGAG
rnacentral:lncRNA from 1 species